rnacentral:rRNA from 1 species
CCCUUAGAUGUUCUGGGCCGCACGCGCGCUACACUGACGAAUGCAACGAGCUUAUAACCUUGGCCGAAAGGUCUGGGUAAUCUCCAAAUUUCGUCGUGAUGGGGAUAGAUUAUUGCAAUUAUUAAUCUUCAACGAGGAAUGCCUAGUAAGCGCGAGUCAUCAGCUCGUGCUGAUUACGUCCCUGCCCUUUGUACACACCGCCCGUCGCUCCUACCGAUUGAGUGCUCAGGUGAAUAAUUCGGACUGCAGCAGUGUUUGGAUCCCGAACGCUGCAGCGGAAAGUUUAGUGAACCUUAUCACUUAGAGGAAGGAGAAGUCGUAACA